rnacentral:tRNA from 1 species
GGAAAUAGCAGCUCAGUGGUAGAGCAUGUGCUCAGUACGUGUGAGGCCCUGGGUUCAAUCCCCAGUGCUUCCA